UAGAAUCAGUUGUGUACAAAAUAAGAGACCCGCUGAAUCAGAGACAAACCUGUGGCACUGGGCACUGGGAGGGAGAGGUCGAUUGUGUGAGCUGGAGAAGAGACAUUGAGAAAGUGGAGAAGGACUAAGAGGGGCCAGGCCUGGUCCUGACUUCCCGGAGCACAUCUAAGCAGCUUUCUGAAUCUUCACUGCUGGUUCACUUCCAUUUAAUCUGAAGACCUGGAGAAGAAAUACCGGAAGUGCAACAAAGUCAUAUGAAGUAUGAGGGAUCCAGCCUAGGAAUGCAAAAUCAUCUGAUGACAUCCAUUGCAGAAUGCCUCUGUUACAAAGACAGGGAGAUGAGCCCUGGAGUUGACGAUGUGAUGCAUGGUUCAAGGCCAAAGAAUCUAGCAGCGAUCCUUUCUGGACCCUCAGUGAGGGCUGAAUUUUGACACCACAAGAGAUAGUAUGUAGAAUUAAAAGUGGUCUAAAGAUGUUCUGGGCUCU